UACAGAGGUGGCGAGCGUUGUUCGGAUUUACUGGGCGUAAAGCGUGCGUAGGCGGUAUGGUAAGUCAGAUGUGAAAUCCCACGGCUCAACUGUGGAAUUGCAUUUGAAACUACCAGACUUGAGAAGAGUAGGGGAAAGUGGAAUUCUCGGUGUAGCAGUGAAAUGCGUAGAUAUCGAGAGGAACAUCAGUGGCGAAGGCGACUUUCUGGACUCUUUCUGACGCUGAGGUACGAAAGCUGAGGUAGCAAACAGG
rnacentral:rRNA from 1 species